rnacentral:tRNA from 1 species
GCGGGUAUGGUGUAAUGGUAGCACAUAACCCUUCCAAGGUUCUAGCACGAGUUCGAGUCUCGUUACCCGCU